ACCGCUUUUAUCGCAUCUCCGCCGUUCCUCCCGUCUUCCGCCUCUGUAGCCGAGAAUUCUAUCUCCUGACGGCGAGAAUCUCCGGCGAGUUUUCCUACCCGAACCCGAGAACUCGACAUCGGCCAAUCCAAACUGGAGUCCGACCGGUUCCAAUCAUGAGACCUGGAACAUUCAAUUUCGUGAACGAGAGUCCAGCAAUGAAGCAAAAUGCUUGACGAUCCUUAUGUCCACCCGAUUUUCACAGCAACGGAACUCCGAACUUGAACCGCCGUAGUUUUGGAUUCAGGAAUCCGACUUCGAUCCUGAACACAGACGUAGAGUAGGAACAUGAGGGACCUUACGAAGGAAAAAAAAAACAUAUUAAAUAUUGGCUCUGAAUAUCACAUUUCCUAAUUUAUUAUCCUAUUUAAUGCAACAUUUAUGUCGAUCCCUACAUUAUACCAAUCAGCGAAGAUUUCUCUCCGUUCUCCUCGUCAAACGUGCAAUGGAUAGUCAUUUUAUGUGCUAACAAGUAACUAAUACUUGUUAUUAUAUGGUUUUU